UCUCGCACUCAAAUUAAGUUCUUUUCGUAGUUCAUUUAGUUACAGAGGGGUGUUCAAUUCGUUGUGUUCGGUUCUUUGUUGAUUGUUAUUGAUUGAAUUACUUGGGUGAGAGUUGGUGGAUGAUAUGCUAUGUAUAAACAUGAUCAAAAGGGGAAGGGUUUUAUACCUCAAAACACGAUAUUGAAUUGUGAAAUUGUGGGACUGAAAGGAGUAGUUUCCUUGGACUUGGCAGACUCGUCUCUGUGAUUUGGGAUGCUUAUUGGAAGAGAAUUAGGCAGCACCCUUGAACUCUCGAUUUCUGCCGUGAAUGGAGCUGGAGUGUAAUCAAGCAGCUAAGUGCCUUGAGGGGAAGGAGAGUAAUCAAGCAGCAGCUACGUGCCUUAAAGGGAAGGAAAGUAAUCAAGUAGGAAGUGGAGGAGUGGAUCAAGCAGGAGGUGGAACAGACGUGGCUUGAGGGGGGAUGAGAGUCAUCAGGAGGAAGAAGAAGGAAGGAGGAGGUGGAGGAGCAAUAAACAAGAAUUAAUUUAGUUAUUUGGGUAUUCCAUGAAUGGGUUCCAAAAUUUUUGAAGUGGGCUGGGAUUUAACUUAUAGGCCCACAUAUGUACACCAUUUUAUCUCUUGUAUUCCAUUUCAUAGUUUUUAGAGAUGUAUCCCGGUAGUUAGACUUGUAAAAUAAAAAGUUUGGUUGACUAUGUUUCUCACUUAUGUAUAACCUUAAUUAUUUACUAGAAUUAUAAUAACUUAUUUUAUUCUUUAGUUUGAAA